rfam:TPA: Bos taurus chromosome 19, whole genome shotgun sequence.
UCCCUGGUGGUCCAGUGGUGAAGACUUCGUGCUUCUAAAGCAGGGGGCACAGGUUUGAUCCCUGGUUGGGGAA